GACGAACGCUGGUGGCGUGCUUAACACAUGCAAGUCGAACGAAGUGGCGAACGGGUGAGUAACGCGUAAUCAACCUGCCCUUCAGAGGGGGACAACAGUUGGGCACUACUGCUAAUACCGCAUACUGAAGGAGGGGAUUGCGUCUGAUUAGCUAGUUGGAGGGGUAACGGUCCACCAAGGGGAUGAUCAGUAGACGGUCUGGGAGGAGUGACGGCCACAUUGGGACUGAGAAAAGGGCCAGAAUCCUACGGGAGGCAGCAGGGGGGAAUCUUCCGAAAUGGAGGAAAGUCCGAAGGAGCAACGCCGCGUGAGUGAUGACGGGUUUCGGGUUGGAAAGAUAUGUUAAUCGGGACGCGGUACCGGAAUAGAAAGCACCGGCUAACUACGUGCCAGCAGCCGCGGUAAUAC
rnacentral:rRNA from 1 species